GGCUCGGUGGUGUAGUGGUUAGAGCACGCAUCCCCGGAUAGGAUGAAAUGCGGGUUCGAUUCCCAGCUGAGGCCG